CGAGUGCCUGCCCUGGAGGUAGCGUAGCUAGCUAAUGUCGUGUGUAAGUUGGACUGCUAAUUAUUUUCCGAGCGGAACUGUCUGGGCAUCAUUUAUGAAUACUAGAAACAGGUGAACAGUUUUGGAUCACUGUACCAGGUCUGUGUUACACGUGGGUUGCCUUUGACAAUAAGGCACAGGACUACAGUCGUAUAGUUUUCAACCUAGAAGAAGACCAAGAUACGAGAGAAGGCAAGAAGGAGUCUACCGGGAUGGGGGAGAGGAAUGUCCAGUUGUCCAUAAAAGCAUGGUUUGUCAUCUGAUUUCUUUGAGCCUGGUGGAGAUGGAUGCAACCAUACUACAAGGCUGGACAUUUCGCUGCAUCCAAGUUGAGGCUUGCUACCAGCAGGAACAUAGAGCACUCUGUCACUGUCGCCCAUCUUCCCCGUUAUCCAUUCUACCUGCCUUGACCCUAAGCCUGCCUGCCGUUCUGUACCUUUUGACUCUGAUCUGGAUUGCUGACCUCUGCCUGCCCUGAGCCUGCCUGCCGUUCUGUACCUUUUGACUCUGAUCU